AACGAACGCUGGCGGCAUGCCUAACACAUGCAAGUCGAACGAGACCUUCGGGUCUAGUGGCGCACGGGUGCAUAACGCGUGGGAACCUGCCUUUAGGUUCGGAAUAACAGUGAGAAAUUACUGCUAAUACCGGAUGAUGUCUUCGGACCAAAGAUUUAUCGCCUUUAGAUGAGCCCGCGUUGGAUUAGCUAGUUGGUGGGGUAAAGGCCUACCAAGGCGACGAUCCAUAGCUGGUCUGAGAGGAUGAUCAGCCACACUGGGACUGAGACACGGCCCAGACUCCUACGGGAGGCAGCAGUGGGGAAUAUUGGACAAUGGGCGAAAGCCUGAUCCAGCAAUGCCGCGUGAGUGAUGAAGGCCUUAGGGUUGUAAAGCUCUUUUACUGGGGAUGAUAAUGACAGUACCCAGAGAAUAAGCUCCGGCUAACUCCGUG
rnacentral:rRNA from 1 species